AAAAAGUACAUUUUUCAGUUUUUAUAAAACAUUUGACUUUUCAUCUUAUUGAAAAAAAUAUUAUAAUUACUACUUUUGUUGUUAUUAGAUGAUAAAAUAUGAAUAGUAUUUUAUUUGUAACUAUUUUUUAUUUUUUUAAUAAAUUUUAUAAUAAGAAGGAUGGUCGAACGUUGGAAAAGAAACCAAAAAUGCUACGCAUCCU
rnacentral:pre_miRNA from 1 species